GAUGAACGCUGGCGGCGUGCCUAAUACAUGCAAGUCGAGCGAACAGAUCAGGAUCUUGCUCCUUGGACGUUAGCGGCGCGCGUGUGAGUAACACGUGUGUAACCUACCUAUAAUACUGGUAUAACUUCGGGAAACCGGAGCUAAUACCGUAUAACAUUUUGAACCGCAUGGUUCUAAGGUGAAAUAUGGUUUUGCUGUCACUUCUAGAGGGACCCUGGCCGUAUUAGCUAGUUGUUAAGGUAACGGCUUACCAAGGCAACGAUGCGUAUACGACCUGAGAGGCGGAUAGGCCACCCGGGAGCGGAGCCACGGUCAAGAGGACUGCGGGAGGCCGCAGUAGGGAACGUUAGGCAAUGGGGGGGAGCAUGGCGGAGCAGCGCCGCGUGAGAGACGGAGGGUUUCGGUUCGUAAAGCCGUGUUACUAGGGAAGAACAAAUGUCGAAGGAAACGAGGACGUAUUGACGGUACCUAAUCAGAAAGCCACGGCUAACUACGUG
rnacentral:rRNA from 1 species